rnacentral:lncRNA from 1 species
GGGGCAACAGAACAUGCAUUUAAUGUUGGGUAUAAACUUUUAAUAAUUAGAAAACUGAGAAUGCCAAGAAACUAUUACAUGGCCAUGGUUGACCACAGGUAAUUGAAACCCUGGAAGGUGAAACUGCAGAUAAGGAGGACUACAGUGUUCAACUAUUUACAAAUAAUGACAGUGGCCACAAAGAUUACCUUGAAAAGAGACCGUGAGACAGUUUCAC